rnacentral:rRNA from 1 species
GACGAACGCUGGCGGCGUGCUUAACACAUGCAAGUCGAGCGGUAAGGCCCUUUCGGGGGUACACGAGCGGCGAACGGGUGAGUAACACGUGGGUGACCUGCCUCUAGCUCUGGGAUAAGACCUGGGAAGCUGGGUCUAAUACCGGAUAUGACCUCGCGGUGCAUGUUGCGGGGUGGAAAGCCUUGUGCGGCUAGGGAUGGGCCCGCGGCCUAUCAGCUUGUUGGUGGGGUGANGGCCUACCAAGGCGACGACGGGUAGCCGGCCUGAGAGGGCGACCGGCCACACUGGGACUGAGACACGGCCCAGACUCCUACGGGAGGCAGCAGUGGGGAAUCUUGCGCAAUGGGCGAAAGCCUGAC